rnacentral:rRNA from 1 species
UGGGGAAUCUUGGACAAUGGGCGCAAGCCUGAUCCAGCCAUGCCGCGUGGAUGAUGAAGGCCUUAGGGUUGUAAAAUCCUUUCGCCGAGGACGAUAAUGACGGUACUCGGAGAAGAAGCUCCGGCUAACUUCGUGCCAGCAGCCGCGGUAAUACGAAGGGGGCUAGCGUUGUUCGGAUUUACUGGGCGUAAAGCGCAUGUAGGCGGGCCGUUAAGUUAGGGGUGAAAUCCCGGGGCUCAACCUCGGAACUGCCUUUGAUACUGCAAGUCUCGAGUUCGGGAGAAGUGAGUGGAAUUCCUAGUGUAGAGGUGAAAUUCGUAGAUAUUAGGAAGAACACCAGUGGCGAAGGCGGCUCACUGGCCCGAUACUGACGCUGAGGUGCGAAAGCGUGGGGAGCAAACAGGAUUAGAUACCCGGGUAGUCCCUGAGCGGGCUGGCAAGGCGCAU